GAAAAUAAUGCUUUUUGUAGCAAUGGUUAUAACAUUGUAAAUUAUAGUGAUCUAAUGCAUCCUUUCAUGCUCAACUCCAUAUUAUAUUUACAAAUAUCAAGAGUACUCAUUGCCAAACAUUUGCAUGGAACAUGCGGGAACCAUCAUGAAGGCUUUAGCUGCAAAGAUUGCACUCAUGGAUACAACAAAAGGGACAUGUGUGACAUCUGCUAAGGGACACAACCUAAUUAUAUGGUAAGUCAUCACUGAGCUUAACUAUUGUUCAAACACCGUGGUAAAGAAAUUAGAAUUUUCUGCAAAAGAGGACUAUGACCAACGGAAUAUGCCAUUUUCUGCAGAUUUGGAAAGGGGACUAUGACCAACUUAUAUAUGACCAACGAAAUAUCCCAUCCACACCCCAGCAAUAUGCCAUUUUGUUCAAUUUAAAAGGGGACUGAUAUCACUGAGCUUAUCCAGCCCACGGAAUAUGCCAUUUUGUUCAAACACCGCUGUAAAGAAAUUAGAAUUUUCCCCUGCAAGUAGAAGUGCACAAUUGUUACUUGUCACUAAAAACGCUAACUAUUGUUAAUGAAAAUGCAUAUUAUUUAUUGUACAAUAUUUUACAACAGCACUUCCAAAUCUGCACCUAACCAUAUAUCAAGUAUUGUUCCUAACAAACUACAUUACAGUAAAUUCCGCCACUCCAUUCUGAACCUAUAUCAAACUACAGUACAAUAAUUUCUGAACCUAUAUCAAACUACAGUACGGUAUUUUCUGAACCUAUAUCAAACUACAGUACAGUAUUUUCUGAACCUAUAUCAAACUACAGUACAGUAUUUUCUGAACCUAUAUCAAACUACAGUACAGUAUUUUUUGAACCUAUAUCAAACUACAGUACACAUUGAUCAUAACAGGAUAAUGCACAGGGGAGCACACAACGACAUCACACAUUGAUCAUAGGCCCAAGCAGGCAUAUUUACGUGGAUGAGGUUCAUGAGCACAUCAGACGAUAGACUACAGAGCACGAACAGGUAGACGUCAACAGAUUGCAAAGCUCGUUUACAUAUAAGCUAAAUGUGCUAUUAUUUCUAGUGAAAAACCAUGAUAUUCCAAUUCCUGUUUGUAAUGUUAAAUACUAAUUAAAGAACUGUGGGGCAGUGCUUCAAAACUUUAAAUUGCAAAAGCAAUAAACCUGGGAAGCAAAGCCUCCAGGACAUGCAUAGGAGGACAACUCACAUCAAAAAUAGAAUAUGACCUUUUAUGCUAGUCAACCAGAAGGCCAAUUGAAUAUACGUAAUUAAUUGCUAUCAAGAGAGCCAAAGCAACACAUGGAUUUCAUUUUUUUAUUGGAUGAAGCGCAUAAUGUAUACUGUAUAAACAAAUUCAAAGUUCAGUUAUGGUCAACCAUACCUUGAUACAAGUAGGUCUAAUAUUGCAAACUGUAACCGCGAUGUCGACAAAAUAAGCUGCACAUCGAGCACUGAAAUAUCAUCUGCACAUCAGAGACCUUGCAGGAUGCUCUAUCCAAUUUGUUGUGAGUCCAGAAUAUGCUCUUUCUUAAGAUUAAAAUCAUAUAGAUAAAAGAUGUACAAAACAACAGACAAUCAAAACCCAGUGCUAGAAGUAAGGCUCCUCAUAGUAAAAAAAAUCAUGUUGAGCAAAUCUUGACCUUUCAGGAUGCUCUAUCCAAGUUGAGAGAUAUUUUAAAGCAGUAAAUGGUGUUUGGAGUAGCACUUGACAAUGGCAUAGGAAUGCUCAUGUGUACAAAUUUCAUGGUAAUUAGAGAAAGUAGCAAAGCUCAGGUGCACAUGGGUCCACAACACCAUAUUGCAAAUCAACCAGAGUAAUAGACAUCAUUACUUUGGAUAACCUAUAGCCGAGUUACAUUGGAUACGGAUGCUACUGCAGUGAAAAUCUUAGUAUCACACCAUUGUUGACAAAAGAUAGGAGGGGCUACUACUGCGUCAUUAUAUUAUUUAUAAGCAAAAAUUUACAUGAGUAAUUCUAAACUCUUAGCUGCCCACAAUCUGAAUUGUCAACAGCCAUAUUCAAUUCCCUUUGAUAACCUAAAGACACCAUGCCCAAUGAGAAGAAGACAAAUGAGAUUAGAGUGCAAGUUACUGAAUCAUAUAUAGGAUAAACACCUCCUGAACCUGUUUUUUCUGAGUAGGGGCCCGCCUCACCUUGUCGUUGUAGCCUACAGGUUGGCGCUUGGGGGGGAGGGGGGGGGGCAUGGAGAGGCCAGGGAUGUGGUUCUCCUGUUGCAAGCGCCGAUUGGAGAUGCAGCAGGCCAAGGGGCUAGCAGCAUCUCACUUCUUCCUCGUCUUUUUUUGGUGGAGACCAAGCCUCUCCUUCUCCUAAGCGCCGUGUAACAGGGGGAGCACGCACCAACGAUCCUCGAGUGCAAUAAAGAAGGAAUGAGUUAGGCGAGAUAAGCAGGGGUGAGGGCGUUAUAUACUGCCAAUUUUUGGAGCAAAGAUAAGCCGAAACUAACAGCGUCAGAUCAACCAAACAUCCAAAACAUCUGAACCUGAGAUGACAACCCAGAGAUCCACAUUCCGUAUAUACUGCCAAUAGUAAAACUAUCCAUCAAACCCAAAUCAGUCACUUAUCAAGCAAAAACAAGCCAAGACUAACUGCAUCCGAUCACCAGAUGCCAUAACACCCAAUCCAACAGCUGCCACAAUAACAAAGAGAUCCCCACUCCGUAUAUUUCACUAAUAUACAAACAGUUGUUAUGUCCAGUUGACCGUUUCUAAAGCAAAGUUAAGUUGAAACUAAAAGCAUCAGACAACCAAAACACCCCAAAUUCCAUAACCUGAGAUCCCAUGGCACCCAGUCCAACAGUGAACCAUCUCAUGAACCUAAUUAAGUAGUGUAUAUAUGAACCUAAACAACAUGACAUAGCUGAACAACAACACGAAUAGCAGCUGCAUGCGGAUCCAAUUGAUAUAUAGUAAACAAAAGGCCCAGAAAAAAAUCACCUCCAGAGGACGUCUCCAAGGAGCAUCAAGUCGCCAUCCUUGUCUCCGUCCUGCUCACCGUCUCCACGAAACUCAUCUCCUUGUUCCCACACUUGCCUGGCUCUGAGAUUCAAAUCGUCAGAAGCCCACCAGAAGAGCAACGCAUCGCGUGCUCGUCUCUGCGGAGCAACGACGCGAUUAGCGGUCUACACAGUCUUCCCAACGGGGAGAGCAGCGGCGUCGGUGGCGGCGAUGGGUGAAAAAGGGAAGGAAAGGCGGUGGGAGCGCGACAAAUCUGAGGCGGCUCACCUCGGUUUGCCCUCUUCCCGGAGGAGCACGAACUUGAGGACACGCUCCGGUCCUCCUCCCGUUGAUGGCGAAGCAGGAGGACGGGCGGCAGCAGUUGGUGGUCGAUCUCCUCUUCCACCGCUACCCGUUGCCCCUCCACAACCCGAGGGCCGGUGGUGAGGAACGAGCACGACGGGGAGAGCGGCGGCGGUGGCAAGCUCGGCCCGACGCGGAGCAGUAGUGGCCGUGUUGCUUCUCGGAGGGCGGCGGCGCGAGGGAAGGCAACGAAGAGAAGGGGAGGGGGCGGCGGCGGCAACACGAGAGAGAGAUGCGAGGGAGAGACGCAGCCCUACCUGUCUCACCGAUUGGGGAGGGAGCAACCAAUGGUGAGAAGCCACUUGGC
rnacentral:lncRNA from 1 species